UACAGAGGUCCCAAGCGUUACUGAGAAUCACUGGGUUUAAAGGGUGCGCAGGUGGCACGUUAAGUCAGUUGUGAAAUCCCCGGGCUCAACCCGGGAACUGCUUCUGAUACUGGCGUGCUUGAGGCCAGUAGGGGUCACUAGAACUGACGGUGGAGCGGUGAAAUGCGUAGAUAUCGUCAGGAAUGCCGGUGGUGAAGACGGGUGACUGGGCUGGUUCUGACACUGAGGCACGAAAGCGUGGGGAGCGAACGGG
rnacentral:rRNA from 1 species